AUCAGAGACCUAUUAUUAGAUCCCCACACGUGUACUUAAUAACAAUAGGAUAGCCUCAGGAGUUCACAUUUGUUAACUGCAUUUUUGUUAGUCUUAUCCGUAAAAGAAGUAUGAAUAUCCUUGUCGUACCAUAAGGUUCAUGAUUUGGUUUUCACAUAAAGAUAGAGGUUGAAUAUCCCAGUUAGAUUACUUAGGUGCCUUAUGAUCCGACCUUGGUUGACCUAUAGUCACGAUGCAGUCACAUAUAUAAUAAAAAAAUACCUAUAUGGUUCAGUCUAUCUUCUCUUUUCUUGCAUAAUUAAA
rnacentral:lncRNA from 1 species